rnacentral:lncRNA from 1 species
CUUUAUAGGAUGGAAGGUCGGAUCCACUCCUAAGUAAUGGGUCAUCACCUCCGGAUCUAUGUCAGGCACAUCUACCACCGUCCAAGCGAACAGGUCUGCAUUUACUUGCAAAAAAGCAGUUAGUCGAGCUUUGGUUAUCUGAUCUAUGGAUGAUCUGAUUUUCACAAUUUGAUGAGGAUUUUCUUUCCUCAGAGAGACCUCCACUAGGUCCUCGGACGGCCAAGCAUGCUCUCCAGAUAGAUCAUCGC